rnacentral:rRNA from 1 species
UGACGGUACCCUACUAGAAAGGAGCCGCUAACUUCGUGCCAGAAGCGUCGGUAAUACGGGGGCUCCAAGCGUUAUCCGGUGUUAUUGGGCGUAAAGAGUCGUGUAGGUGGUUGGGUAAGUUAUCUUUCAAAUAUCUUUGCUUAACAAAGAGGAGGGGGAUAAUACUGCUCGACUAGAAUUUUCUCAAGGGAGAUCGGAACUGAGGGAGGAGUAGUGAAAUGCGUUGAUACCCUCGGGAACACCAGUGGCGUAGGCGGAUCUCCGGGAGAAGAUUGACACUGAGACACGAAAGCUAGGGGAGCGAAGCAGAUUAGAGACCUGCGUAGUCCUAGCCGUAAACGCAUGCUUGCUAGCUGCAUGAAUCUACCUUCGGGUGGUAUCGUGUGGCGAAGGUAACCCGUUAAGCAAGCCGCCUGGAAAGUACGGCCGCAAGGCUGAAAUUCAAAGGAAUUGGCGGGGAGGCACACAACCAGUGGAACAUGUGGUUUAAUUCGAGACUAACCGAAGAACCUCACCAGGGUUUGACAUGUAGCUGCACGUCUUAAGAAAUUAAGACUCUCUUGAAGGUGCUACACAGGUGCUGCAUGGCUGUCGUCAGCUCGUUCCGUGAGGAGUGCCCUUAAGUGGGACAACGAGCGCAACCCCUAUUACAUGUUAGAAAUGUCAUGUAAGACUGCCUUGCCAUUUGGCGGGGAGGAAGGAGGGGCAGACGUCAAGUCCGCAUGGUCCUUAUGCCCUGGGCUACACACAUGUUACAAUGAGUACGGCAAUGAGUCUGUCGCGAGCACGUAAGUGUAAGCUAAUCUCUUAAAUGUACUCUCAGUGGGGAUUGAGGUCUGCAACUCGACCUCAUGAACACGGAAUUGGUAGUAAUCGCGGGUCAGCUAUACCGCGGUGAUACGUUCUUGCCUCUUGCACACACCGCCCGUCAAACCAGCAAAGUCGAUUGUAUCCGAACCU